AUUUGAGUAGUUUAUUUAGAACAAUAAUUUGUGGAAUUAUAGGAAUAUAUUUAUAUAUCUUGAAUC
rnacentral:tRNA from 1 species